CUUGCUUCUUGGUCAAGGUGUUUUGUGCAGGGAUAGAAACUCUAAGACAGUGAGAUAGACUCUCCAAAAAAUAAGGUGUAGAGAAAGCGAAGGCACCUCACAUUGACUUCUUGUCAAGCCAGUAGGAUGAGAACCCAUGAUGCUACUCUGUUCGGCAUUUCCCCAUGGGCUGAACUAAGUGUCUCUGUCAAAGUUUCUGUUAAUUGGACACAAGCCUAUGCAUAGAUGGGGAGAGGGAAUCUCAGCUGAGGAAUUUGCUUCCAUCAAUUGAUGAGUAGGCACAUCUUUGGGAAAUUUUCCUGAUUGCUGAUUGCUGUAGAAGGUCACAGUCCACUCUUGGUGGUGCCAUUCCCUAGACACAAGCCUAUGCAUACAUGGGGAGAGGGAAUCUCAGCUGAGGAAUUGCUUCCACCAGUUGAUGAGAGGGCAUGUUUCUGGGGGAAAUUUCCUGAUUGCUGAUGGAUGUAGGAGAGCACAGUCCACUGUUGGUGGCACCAUUCCCUAGGCAGGCAGGCGUGGGCUGUGUAAGAAAGGCUGUGAGCAAGCUAAUAACUAGUGUUCCUCCAUGGUCUCUGCUUAAGUUCUUACCUCUCAGGUUCCUGCCUUGAAUUUCUGCCCUGGUUUUCCUUAAUGGCCUAUAAGCCAAAUAUGCCCUUUUCUCCCCAGGUUGUUUUUGGACAGCGUUUCAUCACAGCAAUAGACAGCUAUAUAGAAUGGUCCUUCUUUUGAGCUGCUAUGGUGACAUGGGCUAUUUUAGUCUGUUUCAGUCUGAGUGUGUACCAUAAGCCUGGUGGGGUCUAGCCACUGGAGAGUAACACUGUGCAUAACACAAACAGAUGUCUUUCCCCUUCUGGAAAUAAGCUAAAUAAUGGAAAGUGAGGAUUGUCUUAGCCUAUUACUGGAAGUCUGAUGGCCAGAAGAAGCUGUUGAUUGGGGAUUAGAGAAGACAGAGGAGUCCUGUGAGGUGACAGAAGAAUAGCUGAACUUGCUCUGUGACCCUGGGAAGCUUAGCAUGGGAUUCUUUGUAGAAAAGAACAUUUGAGUCAUAAAUUGGCCACCCUGGAGACAGAGUAGUGGGGGCACUAGCGGACUGUGGCUGUUAUGCUUGCUGCUCCCAUCUUGCAGUGAGGAUCCAGGGCUCUUUUGGAUGUUGUCCUAAAGCCAUCUGUUAUUGCUUCUUGCUCUCCUGACUCGGGUAAGCCGAAAUCCAGGACUGAGUACAUCUCCAGGAGACUGUUGAAAGUGCCAACUUGAUUAACGCUUUGUAUGAUAAGAUCAAAGAUCAAGAUACAGGAGCUUAAAGAACGGAUUAAUUUUAAAGAACAACCAACAAAGAAACCAGAGCUGGCUGGAUUUAGAGAUGGCAGAGAGCUCUCAAACUCAGAAGGGUCUCAGGGCCAGAGAUGAAGUCAAUAGUGGCCUCGUAAGAUCCUCUGCCGAGACUCCAGAAAGACCAGGGCCAAGUGCUCUGGACCUUACAUUUAUGCCCUAUGCCUCCUUUAAGGAACAGAAAGCCAAAAGAUAUUAGGGAUUUGUUCUAGUCAUCUUAAGAAGUGAGUUGGCGAGGUAGCCAACCGGUAGAAAAAGGAUUAAGUCUUUUGGACAGUCAGGCCUCUGGUCUCUUUUGGGGUGUCUGGGCCUGGGCUCCUUUUUAAUCAUUUAUAUAAGACAACACAUCAAUCAUUUUUUCUUUUUUUCCCCCACCAGUGUCUCUGGCUUCCCUUCUGAGAUUUCUUUCAUCUUCUGUCUUUCUUUUCUUCUACAGAGCUGUGGUUAUUGUUAACUUUUGAGGAAUCUCCAAUAACUGGUACCUAUUUACAUUCUUAAGAUCCUUUUAACUUCUGAAGUUUCUUUCUAACAUCUAGGGCCAACUGCUUAACAGAAAGCAAUGCUGGCUGCUGGUUUUCUGGCCUGUCUGGGUCUCUGUGGAUGAACACCUGGUAGCAUUCCAGGAACCCAGUUGGGUGAUUCUUGGGGCUCUUGCAUGACCUCAUUUACCCCAGAUGGUGGGUGUUCUAGAAGCCAGCUUCAGUCUUCCUAAAAAGGGCUUGAGUAUUCUUACCUUGGUCAGUGUUUGACUCCCAGUCAGGUCAGAAAGGAAAAUCCAUUCUAUCCAGACAGAAGCAGAGAGAGAGUUCUACAGAGAGACACACGGUAAAGACAAUCAGGAGUGUCCAUUACACGUUCUCCCUCUCUGUGUUGUGUUACAAGUGUGUGCAUCCAUGUGUGUCCCUUCAGAAACCAAGUGAGUGUCCUCUCCUGUCACUCUCUGACAGAUUGCCUUGAGGUAGGGCCUAUCGCUGAACUGGAAGCUUGUCAUUUGGGCUCUUGACUGGCCAGCGAUCUCUCAGAAUCCCCUGCCUGGCCCAGUCCUGAGGUUACAGGCAUGCACAGGCAUGCACAGGCAUGCACAGGCAUGCCCAGUUUCUUAUGUGACUACUGGGGAUUUGAAGUGAGGUCCUAAUGCUUACAGAGGAAGUACUCUUUCCUACUAAGCUCUCUCUCCCCAGAUUCCAGGAACUGAAUCUUAAAACUGUUCUUCAUUCAGAGAGGCAAUAAUCAGGAAAGAUGGUGGACUAACAUAAUAGAUAUCUGUCUUGUGCCUAAUUUUCAGCCAGCAGAUAUAUGUUUAUAUCUGGAUAAGGGAGUGGCCAUCAGUCAUUCUGGGUCUUGGCUCACCCCUCCGGCUGGUCAGCCUGACAUUUCUGAGAUUCUUGAUAUCUGUUUCUGGCUAUUGUCCCUCCUGUUCUUCUUCCCUUCUGUGAAUGUUUGGGCCUAAGCACUUCUUGAAAUGAUGAGCCAUGUCAAUUUCUGCUGUUACCAACCUUCAACUUCCCCCAGGGACAUCUGAGCUACAGUAGUGCUAACUUAGAACAAAUGAAGCAUAGAUGCUAAGCUACCAAUAACAGGCCUGCAGGUUUCUCUCUAUGCAUGGAAUACCCUGUCCAUCCCUCCUGUCCCUUAUCAGUCCUGAUACAAUUUGUUGAUUGCCAUCUUAGGGAGACUCUAUUGUGAUGGUUAGUUUUGUCAACUUGCCAUAAUCUAGUAUCAUCAGGGAGAAUGUUCUCAGAGAAUAUCUGAGAGGGAUUAUCUUAAUCAUCAUUGAAAGACUCACCCACCAUCGGUGGCAUGAUUCCUUAUGCUUGGGUCUUAGAUUGAAUAAAAAGGAGAAAACUAGCUGAGCGUUAUUUUAUUUAUGUUAAUUAUCAUUGAAAGACCCACCCACCAUGGGUGGUAUCAUUCCCUACGCUUGGAGCCUGGACUUAAUAAAAAGGAGCUGAGGACCAGCAGGUAUACAUUAGUACAUGUGUUCCUUCUCAGUUCAGGGAUUAUGGGUGUCAUGUGACUUCCAUGCCAUGAGUCGCCUGCAGUCGAGAAUUGUGAACCCAAUCAUCUUUCUCCCUAAGGUUGCUUUUGCCAGGGUGUUUCACAGUUGUAAAUGAAACUAAUGCAAUUAUCCGUACAUGUAAGGAAGUGGGUCUGGAGUCUUAAGAAACUGACCACACAGUUCAAAGUGUAUCUGCAGGGCAAAGGAUCAUUUCUGUAGAAGGGUUUGCAGCUUGAUACAUCAAAUAAACCCACCCCGUGGGACCCCACUGGGACUUUUCUCCCUAAUGCAAAAGGGUCCCUUGCCUCACUCUGAUUGGUCAGGGCUAGGUCUCACCUUUUUACCUGAUUGGCUAAUUCAAAGCCGCGUGGUUUCUAGGGAGAAAUAACUUAAGCAUACAUUUUGAUUAUAGGGAGUGCUGACCCUGAAGGAAUUUGAAUUUCUACCAGGCAACUUCUUUACAACAUUUUAAAUGGCGUUUUGCUUCAUUUAACUCUUCAAUAAGAAAGACAGUACAUUUUUAUUUUUAUUCCCCCCCUAACCCCCGUCACCAGGGAAACCAGCAACGUUUGCCCACACAGCACACAGGCUGGUCCACAUGAUGACCGGAAGCCAUCCUUCACCGUGUCCUAACAGAGACACACUGUAUCUCAGAAUAACGAGUCGCCAGCCCUCAAUGUGAUUAACUGCAUCUAACUGAGAACAAAGAAGGGCAAAGCAGCGCUGACCGCAGACCUGUGAGACUGACUUGACUCUUCCAUCCAUGAUUCUCAAGUUCUACAAAAACACACCUCUGGAGCGUUCUUCCAUGGUGCAGACUUGGAGACUUCUGGCUUCACCUACGCACUGUUGGCAAUGACUGAAUUUGGCAAAUGAAACCAAACAAGGCCAAUAAUAAUGGGAAAUGCCAACCCACAGGAGAGCAUUGUCGAUAGGUUUGUGAGAGAGGACCACAGAACAGCAAAAAUGAAUGCAUUUCGAGCCUGUGGUAUUCAGAAGAGUAAGGUCAACUAGCAUGUUUCUCUGAAGCAAUGCCAAAAUGGGACAACAAACUUCAGUUACACUCACAUUCACAGAUAUUAGGGUUAGGUCUUGGACAUGUUUAUUGAGGGUGGGGGCUGAAAUUGGACCGAUGAGGAGUGUGAUGGUUUGUAUAUGCUUGGACCAGGAAGUGGCACCAUCUGAAGGUGUGGCCUUGUUGGAAUAGGUAUGACCUGGUUGGAAUGGGUGUGUCACUGUGGGUGUGGAUAUAAGAUCCUCACCCUAGUUGCCUGGAAGUCAGUCUUCCACUAGCAGCCUUUGGAUGAAGACAUAGAACUCUCAGCUCCUCCUGCGCCAUGCCUGCCUGGAUAUUGCCAUGCUCGCACCUUGAUGAUAAUGGACUGAACCUCUGAACCUGUAAGCCAGCCCCAAUUAAAUGUUGUUUUUCUAUAAGACUUGCCUUGGUCAUGGUGUCUGUUCACAGCAGUAAAACCCUAACUAAGACAGAAGUUGGUACCAGAAGUGGGGUAUUGCUGUGAUAGGCCUGACCAUGCUUUUAUUUGAAAGAAUGCGGAUUUUUGGACUUUGGAUUUGGAACUCAGUGGAAUGCUUUAAAUGGGGCUUAAUGGAUUAUCCUAGUAGGAAUAUGGAAGACUUUGUUGCUGGGAGUAAUUUGAACUGUGUUGACCUGGCCCAAGAGAUUUCAAAGGAGAAGAAUUUCAGUAUGUGGCAUAAAGACUGUUUUUGUGGUAUUUUGGUGAAGAAUGUGGCUACUUUUUACCCUUGUCUGAAAAGUCUGCCUGAGGCUAAGGUGAAGAGACUUGGAUUAAUUGCAUUAAUUGCAUUGACAAAGGAAGUUUCAAAAAAGCCCAGCAGAGACUCUGUUCUCUGGUUAAGUCUCACAAAGAGAAGUCUGAACAAGCAUAGCAAGCUUAGAAAGGUCAAAUAUAAAAUAUAUGGUUCGAGUAUUAAAGGCAUACCAGGAAGUGAAAUGGAGCAAAAUCCUGUGUUUUAGGAAAUAACAGAUUAGGGAGUGGGACGUUGGGGCAAGAUCAUACCCAGCUGAAUUUAGAACCAGGCAUGGUGGUACACACCUUUAAUCCCAUGAGACAGGCAUGCUGAUUUCUGCAUUCAAGGUCAAUCUACAAAGCAAGAACCAGGAUAGCCAAGCUUAGGCAGUGAAGGAUUUAGAAAACAUAAAGCUAGUGAUAAUGUAAUAGUACAAGGGGAUCAUGUUCUAGUUCCUGUAAGCAGCAGAACUCAGCAGCUUCAGCCAUGUGGCUCUGGCUCUAGAGUUAAGAAUGGAAGGAACUACUGGGAAAAUUGAUGCUGGUUAGUUGGAGCUAAGGAAUUAGCAGUGAUUAAGAAGAGACCAGCAUCACUGAGGUGAAAUCUUCUGGAAAUUGUUUUCUGGGAGCACAAAGAAGCUGUGUUCCAGAGAUACCCAAGGUUGUACCUCAUGCUGUGGCUGGACUUGUUAAUGUGUAAGAGUCACUCAGGUGGUACUGCUUGUGAACGAAUGAAGGGAUCAUGGAGAGAAGCUGAGGCUUAGCACUGUGAGAGGCCAGGGAAGGCCAUUGGAGAAGGUGAAGCCUCAGCUGUAGUUGAUGGCCCAGGACUGAAGGGGUGAUACAAAGGAUUUGAGGCUUGGCACCCUGAAGAGAGCCUAUGAGAGGCUAUUGGUGAAGUCUAGUUGGAGUGGAACACCCUAGUGUAUUGGAGAUGUCAGUACCAUGGGAUACAUGCUGAGGAGUGCUGCUAACAAGGAGUGGAACCAGCUCAGGAGAAAGCAGUUUGUUGCAGUCAACAAAGAUGGAAAAGGAGUGGAGAUCUGAAGACCGCUUUGACAUCAGCCAUGGAGAUGCAGAGUUUGGACUUUGCCCAGCUGGUUUCCUGCCUUGCUUUGGGGAUUACAGUUAAUUAAGUCGAAUGAAUCUCAGAAGAGACCUUGAACUUUGGACUUUUAACAUUGUUGCGACUGCUAUAGACUAUGAGGACUUUGAAAGUUGGACUAAAUGAAUUUUGUAUUAUGCUAUGUUUAAGUAUGGCCCCCAUAGACUCAUGUUUUUAAACAAGUCUAUGGGGACCAGGGAGUGGAAUGUGAUGGUUUGUAUAUCCUUGGACCAGAGAGUGGCACCAUCUGAAGGUGUGGCCUUGUUGUAAUAGGUGUGACCUGGUUGGAAUGGGUGUGUCACUGUGGGUGUGGGCAUAAGAUCCUCACCCUAUUUGCCUGGAAGUCAGUCUUCCACUAGCAGCCUUUGGAUGAAGACAUAGAACUCUCAGCUCCUCCUGCGCCAUGCCUGCCUGGAUAUUGCCAUGCUCCCACGUUGAUGAUAAUGGACUGAACCUCUGAACCUGUGAGCCAGCCCCAAUCAAAUGUUGUUUUUUAAUAAGACUUGCCUUGGUCAUGGUGUCUGUUUCACAGCAGUAAAACCCUAACUAAGACACUGGGGCAUAAAAUUAUGCCUAUCUUGACCUCAGCACUGACACUUGGUUGGGUAGUUCUUUGUCAUGGGACUUUCCUUUGCUGGAACAGGCAUUAGCACCAUCCCUGCCUCCUAUCAUGAGAUGCAAAAAUGUCUGCAGGUAGUGCCAGGACUCUCCCUGAGAGCUAUGCAAGAGCAUAGACAGAGCCUCUAGUUAAACAGAAACAGUGGAUAAUGUUUCAGUGUGUUGAAGAUAUUCCGUGGAAUAUGGUUACGUUAACAAUUAUCCAUUGCUAAUCUGCACAUCUUGUCAUAUUGCCAAUCAUGGUCUCUUCCCCUGUUGGGAGCAUCCUAUGGGAUCAGGGGGGAUAUGGGACUAAUGUCAAGGCUUCGCCAAACCUGACAACCUGAGUUCAACCUCUGGGACCUGCAUGGUAGAAGGAGGGAACCGACUCCUGCAAGCUGCCCUCUGACCACCACAUGGGUGCAGUGGUAUACGUACACACUCCUGCUCUCACGCGCAAACAAACAAAGGGGCAAACGAAUGCAAACAAUACUAGCAAAAGAAAAAGAAAAAAAAAGAAAAAGAAAAAGAAGAAAAAAAAGAAAAAAACGCUCACUGAGUGGCUAGCCCUCAUCCUAGCUGGUUGGAAGCCAGUCUUCUGCUGGCAGCCUUCAGAUGAUGAUGUAGAACUCUCAGCUCCUCCUGUACCAUAAAUGAAUGUAAGGAGUAACUGAGCCAUCUUUUCCAACACAGGUGUGGACCCAGCUGUGAGCCCUGCCAUGGCUGAUCCAAGGAUUGUGGAUGCAUGUUCUGUCCCCAUGAGAGUGCUCUUGUCUCUCUGAAAGAUGAGAAUAAUAACAUUUCUUACGACACUGUUGAGGCUCCUUUAACCAUGUCUCUAACAUGCCUCCAAAACCAUAUUAAAAACAAGGUAAAAAAUGCCUUGUGUUGUCAGUGUUUAUAAUUUACUCCUGCCCAGGCAUGGUGGUGCACGCCAUAAUCUCAGACACCAAGGGAAGAGGUGGAAGGGUUGUGAGUUCGAGGCCAGCUAGACCACGUAGCCUAAACCUAUCUAAAAAUCAACAGCAACAACAACAGAGAUACAAACAAGAUGACAAUUUUAGCGGUGUUUCUUGGUGCAGGAAGAGGUCACACCUAAUUCUGAGAUAAUUAAACCCCACGAAAAGAUGAUCCAUUUCCUGAUUAGAACAAAAUGAACACAGUUUCUUCUCUGCUGGGCCGUUCCGUCUUCCUCCCACUCAGAGGCGCUGCCUGGUUUCUGGAACAUCUGCUGUUGAGACGAGAACUUUCUGUGUUUCUAUCAUCGAAGGCAAUUAUGUCAACUGAAACCUUCCUGGGGCCUUAUCCAAGCCCAUGAGAUAGUUAGGAGGGCCACAAGGUCAUUUGCAUAACCAGCAGGUGUUUUGAGAUUGGGAAUUGUUAUGCAGCCCAGGACGACUUGGAAUCCCAGCUCUGCCUCAACCUCAGGAGUGCUGCCAUAGCAGGUCCACACAGCACAGCGCCGCAUCACACUGUAUGGCACUGUACUGUGCCACAUCUGAUGCUCCAUGCAAUGCCACACAAACCACAUCAUGCCUCACCACACCACACUCUGCCACACCACACCGGAGCACACCACAUGGCACUGUACUGUGUCACACCCUGAUGCACCACACCACACCAUACCACUCUGCACCAUGCCCCCCGCCGCGCUGUGCCAUGCCAUGCUAUGCCACACAAAACACCACAUCAGCCUUCCCUCACUUACUCCCCGGUGUCUACAGAUGAAAUAUGAGCUUCUGAAUCUGGCAUCCCUUCCCUCUGCACCGGACAACAUCUCUGUCAUUCACCAUGCUGACACAUUCUGUGGCUUCUGGGUCUCUUAUGAAACAUGGGAAACAAGUGUCUCUCCACUGCGUCCCUCCCUGCCUUGGUCACCACAGCUUUACUCUUAAGUCUUCAUAUUUGGCGGGAGAAACCUUCUAACCUUGUUAAUGAUUGAGAUCAUCCUAGCAUGUGUUGGCCCUUCUUCUCACAUUCAUGGAACGACUGGACCCAGCUUGUGCGACUGUAAGGUCAAAGCAACGGUUGGCAUUUUGGUUGGGAUUUAAUUCGAUAUGUUGGUCAGUUUGGGGAGAGUGAUCGUCCAUGCAUGUGGAGGCCAGAGGUUGACAUCCUCAAUCCACCUUGUGUUUUCCAGACAUCUCUGGUUGAACCUAUAGCUAAUCGUUGCCAGGUUGGCAGCUGGGUGAGCCCCAGGGAGGAGCCUGUCUUGGCCUUGCCAGGAGUGUUACUUUACUGUUGUUGUCAAAGAGUGUCCUGACAAAAUAUAAGUCAGGGAUGAAAGAGCGACGAUGUAUAUAGCUCCAGGGUUACGUGGUCCAUUGUGGUGGACUGCGUGGUGUCAUGGAAGCAGGAGCUUGAGGCUAGCAUGCCAGUCAAGAAGCUGAGUGGUGGGUCAUAUUUCAUAUG